GAUGAACGCUGGCGGCGUGCCUAAUACAUGCAAGUCGAGCGAACAGACGAGGAGCUUGCUCCUCUGACGUUAGCGGCGGACGGGUGAGUAACACGUGGAUAACCUACCUAUAAGACUGGGAUAACUUCGGGAAACCGGAGCUAAUACCGGAUAAUAUAUUGAACCGCAUGGUUCAAUAGUGAAAGACGGUUUUGCUGUCACUUAUAGAUGGAUCCGCGCCGCAUUAGCUAGUUGGUAAGGUAACGGCUUACCAAGGCAACGAUGCGUAGCCGACCUGAGAGGGUGAUCGGCCACACUGGAACUGAGACACGGUCCAGACUCCUACGGGAGGCAGCAGUAGGGAAUCUGCCGCAAUGGGCGGAAGCCUAACGGAGCAACGCCGCGUGAGUGAUGAAGGUCUUCUGAUCGUAAAACUCUGUUAUUAGGGAAGAACAAAUGUGUAAGUAACUAUGCACGUCUUGACGGUACCUAAUCAGAAAGCCACGGCUAACUACGUG
rnacentral:rRNA from 1 species